rnacentral:rRNA from 1 species
UACAGAGGAGCCAAGCGUUGUCCGGAUUGACUGGGCGUAAAGCGCACGCAGGCGGAUGCGCGCGUGGGGUGUGAAAUCUGGCCGCUUAACGGCCAGGCGCCAUCCCAUACGGCGCGUCUGGAGUGAUGCAGAGGUCGGUGGAAUUGCCGGUGUAGUGGUGAAAUGCGUAGAGAUCGGGAGAAGGCCGGUGGCGAAGGCGGCGCUCUGGAACAUUUCUGACGCUGAGGCUCGAAAGCGUGGGGGAGCAA